AGAGUUUGAUCAUGGCUCAGAUUGAACGCUGGCGGAAUGCUUUACACAUGCAAGUCGAGCGGCAGCGCGGGGCAACCUGGCGGCGAGCGGCGAACGGGUGAGUAAUGCAUCGGAACAUGUCCAUGUCGUGGGGAUAGCCCGGCGAAAGCCGGAUUAAUACCGCAUACGCCGAGAGGGAAAGCAGGGGACCGCAAGGCCUUGCGCGAUUGGGUUGGCCGAUGUCCGAUUAGCUUGUUGGUGAGGUAAAGGCUUACCAAGGCGAUGAUCGGUAGCUGGUCUGAGAGGAUGAUCAGCCACACUGGGACUGAGACACGGCCCAGACUCCUACGGGAGGCAGCAGUGGGGAAUUUGGACAAUGGGGGGCAACCCUGAUCCAGCCAUUCCGCGUGAGUGAAGAAGGCCUUCGGGUUGUAAAGCUCUUUUGUCCGGAGCGAAACGGGCGGCCCUAAUACGGUCGUCUACUGACGGUACCGGAAGAAUAAGCACCGGCUAACUACGUG
rnacentral:rRNA from 1 species